rnacentral:rRNA from 1 species
GUGCCAGCGCGGUAAGACGUAAGGGCGCGAGCGUUGUCCGGAUUUAUUGGGCGUAAAGAGCUCGUAGGUGGCUUGUCGCGUCGACUGUGAAAACCCGCGGCUACAACCGCGGGCCUUGCAUUCGAUACGGGCAGGCUAGAGUUCGGUAGGGGAGACUGGAAUUCCUGGUGUAGCGGUGAAAUGCGCAGAUAUCAGGAGGAACACCGAUGGCGAAGGCAGGUCUCUGGGCCGAUACUGACGCUGAGGAGCGAAAGCGUGGGGAGCGAACAGG